CCUACGGGCGGCAGCAGUGAGGCAUAUUGGUCAAUGGGCGGAAGCCUGAACCAGCCAAGUCGCGUGAGGGAUUAAGGCCCUGCGGGUCGUAAACCUCUUUUGCCGGGGAGCAGAGGUCCGGACGUGUCCGGGCCGGGAGAGUACCCGGAGAAAAAGCAGCGGCUAACUCCGGGCCAGCAGCCGCGGUAAUACGGAGGAUGAGAGCGUGAUCCGGAUUUAUUGGGUUUAAAGGGUGCGUAGGCGGGCAUUUAAGCCGGCGGUCAAAUGUCGGGGCGCAACCCCGGCCUGCCGUCGGAACUGGGUGCCUUGAGUGGGCGAGAAGUAUGCGGAAGGCGUGGUGUAGCGGUGAAAUGCAUAGAUAUCACGCAGAACCCCGAUUGCGAAGGCAGCAUACCGGCGCCCUACUGACGCUGAGGCACGAAAGUGCGGGUAUCGAACAGGAUUAGAUACCCCUGUAGUC
rnacentral:rRNA from 1 species